UAUUAACAAGACGCUCUGUUGAGCGUUUAGUCGCUGGGGUAUUAAAAUAAGGCACGUCUUGAUUAGAAUAACUUACGAUAUAUCAUCAACCUCGUACCCAGGGCUUCUGCGCUCGUUGCUCUCUCUUCAUUCUCGUACCCAGAACCGUUCUUACGCGCGGUCAACAGAGUGCGACGAGGGGCUCUGGCCAAAUCCAAACCGGAAACAAAAAAAAACAUGGUAUUAGAACAAUAUCCGGUAUUAGAACAAUAUCCGGUAUUAGAACAAUAACCUUCGUUGUGGCCAAUCAGAUGCCAGUUUGAUGUGGAUUUGGCCAGAGCCCCUCGUCGCGCUCCGUAAGAAAGGCUCUGGGGACGAGAAUGUUCUCUUCUGAGAGCAAUCUCGAAACCAGAGCCUGCAAGCCUCCACAGAAGAUAUGAGAGCAAUAAGUACAGAAACCCUGGGUACGGUGAUUUCAUUGGAUUUAUCUGGCUUAAGCCAACUUCGAGUACAUUGGAAACCAGGAUUCGGCAAUUUUAUUCAAAUUUAUUGCAACUCAACAUUUUGACCCUUCAAUUUUCUCAAAAAUUGUAAUACCCCCCCCCUAUUAUUAUUAUUAUUAUUAUUAUUAUUUAUUAUUAUAACGAAUAUUUACACAGGCUGGAUAUAUACAUUUCAGCACAAAAGUGCUGUUAUCAAUGUGAGUCUUGUUACACCUUAAGAAUUAAUUAAAAACUAUUAAACUACUACCUAUAGUUAGGAAGUUAGCCUACUACAUAUUAUAACUACUACUUUAUCAUUUAUUUAUACUGAUGGCCCCACCUUUGCCCCCCUCCCCCUCCCUCUUCCAUAAAUAAAGACUUGUCCCAAACUCCAGGAAAAAUCUGUGCACUUCACAAAACAUUUAUAACAAUUUAUUGCGUUCGCCUCAGGCUGGGUAACCACAACAGAAAUUGCCAAAAUGUCCUUUCAAGGUAGCUUGCAUGUCAGGGAAGAAAAUGGCUGCCCCCAAGCCAUUUACAAACAAACUCAAUAUCUUUUCCAGAGAAAUAUGCCAAAUCCCCCAUGAUGGAAAACGUCAAAAUCCUCACCCCCAGCUAGGCUAAAGAUAUCGGCAAUAGCUCCGCCCCUUGGAUUAGGAAAAGCUGCAAAGGCCCGGGGGUGAGGGGAUGGGAACUGCUAGAAUUAACUGACAUUAGAUUAUCAAAGCUAAUUUUAAAAUAUGACAAUAACAGACAACUCUUCUGCCAAUAUCUUAAAAAGAAAUAUUCCAAUAAUUUUUCAUUAAUUAAACAGCCAGGAAUUACAUACCAAAUAAUAACAAUGGUUAAAGACUGUGUUAAUCAACAGCAAAGUCAGCAAUUAACAUGGUCAAAAGUAGUUAAAAUACAAUUACAAGUAUGGAAUAUCAUUACGUAAACAACAAUUUGAUAUUACCUUAAAAAGAAAAGCUACUAAUUCUGACCAAUGGGAAUUUUGUGUGUACUACGAAUCAUAUGCAUUUAUUGUCUCCGUAGCAGGCUCUAUUUUACCCUGUGAGCAAAGUCGUCUCAUAUUUCUUCUCGGCAUGGCACAGAGAAGCGAGAGAGAUUCUGCAAAACUUGUGUAUAUUCUUUGUGGAGCCGACAAUCCAAAAACUUGGAUAAUUAUGUGUAAUUUCAGGUUUGAUACUGGUUUAAUAACUGGUUUUGAUGCCGGGAACAACGAAACCAGAAACUACUUAUUAAAUCUUCUUCUGGGAAAUAGGCGGUUGCUUAGCAACCUUCGCACACGCUUAAAUUAAUUUCUACCCAAGUUCUGCAGAGUCUCUCUCGCUUCUCCGUGCCGAGAAGAAAUAGGAGAGGACUUUGCUCGCAGGGCAGCUUUAUUUCAAGGAUAGAGCCUGACACGCUGGAUACUUUCAAAGUUAACCCCCCCCCCACUUUAUUACUUUACUCUGCGUAACACUAGACAAUUUUACUUGAGGACGCCAUAUUCAAUAUAUUAUUCUCACCAGGAAAUUCCAUUUUGUUUGCACCCCUUGCACUAUUGUGAUUCAUUAUGGCAUCUUCAAUUUGAAAGAGUCUAUUACUCUGGCCCCAACAUUUACCCAUUAAAAACACAAUAUAUUGAUGAAAUAACUGAAAUGUUACAGGUUUACACGCCUGACACCUGGUCCUUGUAUUUCUGUCUUGUUAGGCUACAUCAUGUUCUUUUGACCGCUUAUCCGUAUCAGGAUAGCUUGCAUCAAGGGCCGUAGAAAAAAGCAUCCAAAUAAACGGCAGUUUGCGAAUAUUAUAUAAAUAUUGUGAACUUUUGUCAUCUAUUUCAAGCUUGUAGCGAUCCAAGUUACUCACAUAAAAUGACUUUCGCUUUAUAAAGUCUGGUUCAUCGGAAAACUUUAAAGUUUCAUCGGAGAAAUAAAAAAAAUAUGUACAAAAUCGAUGAAAUUGUCGAUACUAAAUAACUAAAUUCGCUCCGAAGAAAGCGGCCAUCUUGAAUCCAGCGACGAAUAGUAAUGACGUAAUUUUUAUUAUUUAUUAAUGACGUAACGUUCAUUUUGUGGCUAACGAUCCAAGAUCCGACACAAAUCGAAGCCGAAACCUAGAGUCGCUGCGGGCUGUGCCCCAGCGACUAAUUA
rnacentral:lncRNA from 1 species